rnacentral:lncRNA from 1 species
UUUGCCACCUCAAUGUUUCAGUCUGACAUAACAGAGUGGCCACAUUUC